GUGGAUAUAGGAAGGGUUGGUAAUGGGACUGGUGGAUAGGGGAAGGGUUGGUAAUGGGACUGGUGGAUAGGGGAAGGAUUGGUAAUGGGACUGGUGGAUAGGGGAAGGAUUGGUAAUGGGACUGGUGGAUAGGGGAAGGUUUGGUAAUGGGACUGGUGGAUAGGGGAAGGGUUGGUAAUGGGACAGGUGGAUAGGGGAAGGGUUGGUAAUGGGACUGGUGGAUAGGGGAAGGGUUGGUAAUGGGACAGGUGGAUAGGGGAAGGGUUGGUAAUGGGACAGGUGGAUAGGGGAAGGGUUGGUAAUGGGACAGGUGGAUAGGGGAAGGGUUGGUAAUGGGACAGGUGGAUAGGGGAAGGGUUGGUAAUGGGACAGGUGGAUAGGGGAAGGGUUGGUAAUGGGACUGGUGGAUAGGGGAAGGGUUGGUAAUGGGACAGGUGGAUAGGGGAAGGGUUGGUAAUGGGACUGGUGGAUAGGGGAAGGGUUGGUAAUGGGACUGGUGGAUAGGGGAAGGAUUGGUAAUGGGACUGGUGGAUAGGGGAAGGGUUGGUAAUGGGACUGGUGGAUUGGGGAAGGGUUGGUAAUGGGACUGGUGGAUAGGGGAAGGGUUGGUAAUGGGACUGGUGGAUAGGGGAAGGGUUGGUAAUGGGACUGGUGGAUAGGGGAAGGGUUGGUAAUGGGACUGGUGGAUAGGGGAAGGGUUGGUAAUGGGACUGGUGGAUAGGGGAAGGAUUGGUAAUGGGACUGGUGGAUAGGGGAAGGAUUGGUAAUGGAACUGGUGGAUAGGGGAAGAGUUGGUAAUG